rnacentral:lncRNA from 1 species
GGGACAUCAUGGCCAAGAUAUUCCUAACUGGCUUCUCUGUUUCCACUUCUGGAAUUUCCUAAUUGUGUCUCUACUGUAAUAUGAGCUUUCUGGUCAUAAGUGCUAUUCAGAAAAAUGGGGAAGUGGAAUGGGGAAUGCUGGACAGGAGUAGGGUGUUGUGAAUUUCAACAAGGUGGUUAGAUAAGCCUCACUGAGAAUGUGACAGAAAGGGAGAGAAAGAACUACAAGACUAUCUGGGGGAAGGUCUCUGCAGGCACAGUACAAUUUCCCUGAGGAAGGUGUGGCUGGGAUGGAAUGAGUGGGGAAGAACAGAUGAAAUUUGAGAUAAUAAGCAGCUAGAUCAUGUAUGUGAAGGACUUCAGCAUUUACUCUUAUAUUAGAUGAGUUUUGAACAGGAGUGUGUCAAAAACCUGACUUUGAUUUAAAAUAAUCACUCUUGGGGCUGCGCUUGUGGCUCAGUGGUAGAGUGCUCACCUAGCAUGCACGAGG